rnacentral:rRNA from 1 species
CCUACGGGAGGCUGCAGUGAGGAAUAUUGGUCAAUGGCCGGGAGGCUGAACCAGCCAAGUCGCGUGAGGGAAGACGGCCCUACGGGUUGUAAACCUCUUUUGUCAGGGAGCAAGGUGCAGGUCGGGACCUGCUGUGAGAGUACCUGAAGAAAAAGCAUCGGCUAACUCCGUGCAAGCAGCCGCGGUAAUACGGAGGAUGCGAGGGUUAUCCGGUUUUAGUGGGUUUAAAGGGGGCGCAGGCGGAGGCACAAGUCAGCGGGAAAAUCGGGGGGCUCAACCCCGCUCCGCCGUUGAAACUGUGGCCCUUGAGUGCGCGAAGGGUAGGCGGAAUGCGUGGUGUAGCGGUGAAAUGCAUAGAUAUCACGCAGAACUCCGAUCGCGAAGGCAGCCUACCGGCGCGCAACUGACGCUCAUGCACGAAAGCGUGGGUAUCGAACAGGAUUAGAUACCCCUGUAGUC